GACGAACGCUGGCGGCGUGCUUAACACAUGCAAGUCGAACGGUAAGGCCCUUCGGGGUACACGAGUGGCGAACGGGUGAGUAACACGUGGGUGAUCUGCCCUGCACUUUGGGAUAAGCCUGGGAAACUGGGUCUAAUACCGGAUAGGACCAUGGCAUGCAUGUGCUGUGGUGGAAAGCUUUUGCGGUGUGGGAUGGGCCCGCGGCCUAUCAGCUUGUUGGUGGGGUGAUGGCCUACCAAGGCGACGACGGGUAGCCGGCCUGGGAGGGUGUCCGGCCACACUGGGACUGAGAUACGGCCCAGAGUCCUACGGGAGGCAGCAGUGGGGAAUAUUGCACAAGGGGCGCAAGCCUGAUGCAGCGACGCCGCGUGGGGGAUGACGGCCUUCGGGUUGUAAACCUCUUUCAAUAGGGACGAAGCGCAAGUGACGGUACCUAUAGAAGAAGCACCGGCCAACUACGUGCCAUCCGCCGCCGUAA
rnacentral:rRNA from 1 species